CCGGCCAGAAGAACAAGAUCACCAUCACCAACGACAAGGGCAGACUCUCCAAGGAUGAGAUUGAGAAGAUGGUUCAGGAGGCCGAGAAGUACAAGUCUGAGGACGAGGAGCACAAGAAGAAGGUCGAGGCUAAGAAUGCAUUGGAGAACUACGCCUACAACAUGAGGAACACCAUCAAGGAUGAGAAGAUCGCCUCAAAGCUCCCAGCUGCUGAUAAGAAGAAAAUAGAGGAUGCCAUCGAGUCGAGCAUCCAGUGGCUUGACGGGAACCAGCUGGCAGAGGCUGAUGAGUUUGAGGACAAGAUGAAGGAGCUGGAGAGCAUCUGCAACCCUAUCAUCGCCAAGAUGUACCAGGGAGCCGGCGGGGAGGUGCCCAUGGACGAUGAGGUGCCUGCACCAAGCGGCGGCAGCAGUGCUGGUCCCAAGAUCGAGGAGGUCGACUAAAUCACUCACGAUGUGUGAUCCUUGUGUUUUUAUAUCCUAUGGUUUUUAUUUUUUUGCUGGACAAGAUUGAUUUUGAUGCGGGUUUUGUCAGAAACAUGUUAAUCCGCUUUUAAUUCUAGUAUUAUAUUUCUGGAUUACAAGUUUUACCUAAUCUGAAGUUAAUUCUUCAUGUGUUCUUUUUUAAGUAUGUUUUCUGUAACUUGUUAUGUUUGUCUGGAUUCUGUUAUUGUCCU
rnacentral:lncRNA from 1 species